GUUGAUAUGUCUUGUCCCUGUAAACCCCUGCCUAAUGUCUUCCCUAGGGUUUAUGGUGCAUUUGGAGAGAGAGGGGGAAAUGGAGGAAUCAACAGCAAAGAAGAGUGUACCAGUUUUGCCAUGGAUGAGGAGCCCGGUUGACAUUACUCAAUUCGAAGAUUGCCCUUUUGAUCUCAUCCCUUGCCUUGAUCCCAGGUUGAAGGUGGCCUUGCAGAAGUUGGGUUUCUCAUCACUCUUGCCAGUGCAAAUUGCAGUUUGGCAAGAAACAAUUGGACCUGGCGCUUUUGAGCGGGACCUUUGCAUAAAUUCGCCAACGGGAAGUGGGAAAACUUUAGCUUAUGCUUUGCCAAUAGUGCAAAGGCUGUCAACUCGUGCAAUCAAAUGUCUUCGUGCUUUGAUUGUUUUGCCCACACGUGAUUUAGCAGUGCAGGUUAAAGAAGUUUUUGCUGCAAUUGCACCUGCGGUGGGCUUAUCUGUUGGUUUGGCUGUAGGGCAAUCUUCAAUUUCUCAUGAAAUUUCAGAGCUUAUUAAGAGACCUAAGUUUGAGGCUGGCAUUUGUUAUGACCGGGAAUAUCUUAUGCAAGGGUUUGAGAGUUCAGUGGAUAUAUUGGUGGCAACUCCAGGACGGCUUAUGGAUCAUAUCACCACCACCAAGGGAUUUACACUUGAGCAUCUCUGUUAUCUUGUGGUUGAUGAAACAGAUCGCAUGCUUAGGGAGGAAUACCAAUCUUGGCUUCCUACUGUGCUCAAAAUGACUCGUUAUCACGAUGAAAGUAUCAUGCCUCAUGUUAAUAGUUUUUUUCCUUAUGUUUUUGGUCCUUUGAAAACCAUAAGGAGAUGUGGUGUUGAAAGGGGUUUUAAGGGCAAAUGCUACCCAAGACUUGUUAAGAUGGUUUUGUCAGCCACAUUAACCCGAGAUCCAAGCAAGCUUGCUCAACUUGAUCUUCAUCACCCUUUGUUCUUGACAAGUGGGAAAAGGCGUUAUCAGCUCCCUGAAAAGUUGGAAUCCUACAGAGUGAUUUGCGAGUCCAAGCUGAAGCCUCUGUACCUGGUUGCUCUUCUACAAAAUUUAGGAGGGGAGAAGUGCAUUGUUUUCACAUCAUCAGUGGAGUCGACACAUCGGCUUUGCACCUUACUGAACUUUUUUGGUGAUUUGAAAGUCAAGAUCAAGGAAUAUUCAGGUCUUCAACGUCAAUCUGUUAGAAGCAAGACAUUGAAGGUCUUCCGGGAAGGAGAGAUUCAAGUACUCGUUUCCUCUGAUGCAAUGACUCGUGGAAUGGAUGUUGAAGGGGUGAGAAAUGUCAUUAACUAUGAUAGGCCUCCAUUCAUAAAGACAUAUAUUCAUCGAGCUGGUCGGACAGCUAGAGCAGGCCAGGCUGGGCGUUGUUUCACACUGUUGCAUAGAGAUGAGGUAAAGCGUUUCAGGAAACUGUUACAGAAGGUUGACAAUGAUUCUUGUCCUGUUUACACUGUCCCUUCCAGUUCUGUGGAGUCUCUUCAUUCUAUUUAUGUGUCUGCACUGGAGAAACUGAAAGAGACGGUUGAAUCAGAAACAUCCAGGAAGCACAAAAUUGGUUUCAAAUCUUCAAGGACAGGCAGAGGAAAGGAGAAAAACUCAGCCAAGGAAUAGCUUUAUCAAUCAAGCAGCCUCCUUUGUGUCAGACAGUCUUUGUGUGUACACAGGAAAAUAAUAUCCUCUUCAACUUCAUUGAUAUUGAGAAACUAGUGGGUAAACUACUGUACAGAUGACUGACGGAGGAGGUGUUGAGAUGAAUUUCUCUUGCAGUGAGUCCAACUUACGUCCACUUUUUCUAAGGACCUACAGAAUCACAUGGCAUGGCUUGAAUUUACAAGGGAGAUGAUAGUGAUGCCUCAAUGGAUACGGAUGAUGUCCCAUUACUCUCAGUCCACUUACCAUGCUUCUCUGAUAUAAUUUUCUUUUGCCUCUAUUCCAUGGCAAUAAAAAGGGGUAAAGGCUGAGCAGCCAAGAACAAGGACCACAACUAAAAGUUCCUUUUUCUAUUGAGACCUUUCAGUGAACUUUUUCUUUACCAGUUCUUUCGGUUUUAAAAUUUCCCACAUGGGGCAUCAAUAUACAACUGUCUCUCUAUGUUGUUCAUAUUAUGCGACUCUGUUGCAUAUCAAAGAAGACAAUAGGGCGGCAAGAAC